UUCGGCCACAUCACAUUGAAACAUUGGUUCCCGUACGAAGUUAAGCAACGUCGAGCCUGGUCAGUACCUAGAUGGAUAACCGCUUGGGAAUACAAAGUGCUGCAAG